CACAGAGUAAUUGGAGCAUACCAAUAGCAUAUAAAAUGUUCCGGAUCAUAUCAAUGACAAAUGGAAUAUUUCGGAACAUAUCAAUGGUGUGUGAAGCAUUUUGAAGUAUAUCAAUGGCAUAGGAAACAUUUUGGAGCAUAUCAAUACAAAAUACGAAAUAGAAGCUCAGACGUCGUACCCUAGCAUAGUGCAUGUGAGG
rnacentral:lncRNA from 1 species